AACGAACGCUGGCGGCAGGCCUAACACAUGCAAGUCGAACGGUGUAGCAAUACACAGUGGCAGACGGGUGAGUAACACGUGGGAACCCUUCCUAUUAGUAAAGAAUAGCCCAGGGAAACUUGGAUUAAUACUUUAUACGCCCUACGGGGGAAAGAUUUAUCGCUAAUAGAUGGGCCCGCGUUAGAUUAGCUAGUUGGUGAGGUAAUGGCUCACCAAGGCUACGAUCUAUAGCUGGUUUGAGAGAAUGAUCAGCCACACUGGAACUGAGACACGGUCCAGACUCCUACGGGAGGCAGCAGUGGGGAAUAUUGGACAAUGGGCGCAAGCCUGAUCCAGCCAUGCCGCGUGAAUGAUGAAGGCCUCGGUUGUAAAGUUCUUUUAGUAGAGAAGAUAAUGACGGUAUCUACAGAAAAAUGCCCCGGCUAACUUCGUGCCAGCAGCCGCGGUAAUACGAAGGGGGCCUAGCGUUGUUCGGAAUUACUGGGCGUAAAGCGUUUGUAGGCGGUUAUACAAGUCAGUGGGUGAAAGCCUGAGGCUCAACCUCAGAAUUGCCAUUGAAACUGUAUAGCUAGAAUAUGUUAGAGGAAAAAUGGAAUUCCUAGUGUAGGAGUGAAAAUCCGUAGAGAUUAGGAGGAAUAUCGAUGGCGAAGGCAAGCUUUUCUGGGACAUUAUUGACGCUGAGAAACGAAAAGCGUGGGUAGC
rnacentral:rRNA from 1 species